rnacentral:rRNA from 1 species
UACGAAGGGUGCAAGCGUUACUCGGAAUUACUGGGCGUAAAGCGUGCGUAGGUGGUGAGUUAAGUCUGUCGUGAAAGCCCCGGGCUCAACCUGGGAAUGGCGAUGGAUACUGGCUCGCUAGAGUGCGGUAGAGGAGAGUGGAAUUCCCGGUGUAGCAGUGAAAUGCGUAGAGAUCGGGAGGAACAUCAGUUGCGAAGGCGGCUCUCUGGACCAGCACUGACACUGAGGCACGAAAGCGUGGGGGAGCAAAACAGG